rnacentral:rRNA from 1 species
CGUACCUUUUGUAUAAUGGGUCAGCGACUUAUAUUCUGUAGCAAGGUUAACCGAAUAGGGGAGCCGAAGGGAAACCGAGUCUUAACUGGGCGUUAAGUUGCAGGGUAUAGACCCGAAACCCGGUGAUCUAGCCAUGGGCAGGUUGAAGGUUGGGUAACACUAACUGGAGGACCGAACCGACUAAUGUUGAAAAAUUAGCGGAUGACUUGUGGCUGGGGGUGAAAGGCCAAUCAAACCGGGAGAUAGCUGGUUCUCCCCGAAAGCUAUUUAGGUAGCGCCUCGUGAAUUCAUCUCCGGGGGUAGAGCACUGUUUCGGCAAGGGGGUCAUCCCGACUUACCAACCCGAUGCAAACUGCGAAUACCGGAGAAUGUUAUCACGGGAGACACACGGCGGGUGCUAACGUCCGUCGUGAAGAGGGAAACAACCCAGACCGCCAGCUAAGGUCCCAAAGUCAUGGUUAAGUGGGAAACGAUGUGGGAAGGCCCAGACAGCCAGGAUGUUGGCUUAGAAGCAGCCAUCAUUUAAAGAAAGCGUAAUAGCUCACUGGUCGAGUCGGCCUGCGCGGAAGAUGUAACGGGGCUAAACCAUGCACCGAAGCUGCGGCAGCGACGCUUAUGCGUUGUUGGGUAGGGGAGCGUUCUGUAAGCCUGCGAAGGUGUGCUGUGAGG